AGUGGUGUUUGGCGUGUAUCGGCAUGUCGGAUCCCUGCUCGGGCAGCGACGACGUGCCUUGCACGCCUCUUCAAUCAUCGGCACAAGCACGGGCUUGUCCGGAGUCGGUUCUCCUGUGCUGCAUACCUAUCGCGAGGGCAUUCGGUCGGUUAAAAUUGUCCCAUCUCCGCCCUGUGCUGCUUCUCCAUGCGGGCGAGCGGCGCGGGGCGGAUCCCAUGGCACUCGUCGUGUUUCGAGCCGCAUCCACCUGUAAGGUGUUUGGGUAGACGACCCACGACGUGCUGCCCGUUGCCUCGGGUACGGAACAUCGGGUGGGUACGAGGCCGUCGGCCUCCGAUCACCACACGAAUGCGUUCUACGCUUUAUGCGAACGACGGUCGGCCCGGUCUUCCUCCUUGCACCCGUGCUCGGUUGGAGUCGUGCCGG
rnacentral:misc_RNA from 1 species